rnacentral:rRNA from 1 species
AUUGAACGCUGGCGGCAGGCCUAACACAUGCAAGUCGAGCGAGCGGCGGACGGGUGAGUAAUGUCUGGGAAACUGCCUGAUGGAGGGGGAUAACUACUGGAAACGGUAGCUAAUACCGCAUACCAUCAGAUGUGCCCAGAUGGGAUUAGCUAGUAGGUGGGGUAAUGGCUCACCUAGGCAACGAUCCCUAGCUGGUCUGAGAGGAUGACCGGCCACACUGGAACUGAGACACGGUCCAGACUCCUACGGGAGGCAGCAGUGGGGAAUAUUGCGCAAUGGGCGCAAGCCUGAUGCAGCCAUGCCGCGUGAGUGAAGAAGGCCUUCGGGUUGUAAAGCUCUUUCAGCGAGGAGGCGGUACUCGAAGAAGAAGCACCGGCUAACUCCGUGCCAGCAGCCGCGGUAAUUC